rnacentral:rRNA from 1 species
AAUUUUGGACAAUGGGGGAAACCCUGAUCCAGCCAUCCUGCGUGUAUGAUGAAGGCCUUCGGGUUGUAAGUUCUUUUGGCAGAAAAGAAAAGGUAUCUCCUUAUACGAUGUACUGGUUACGGUAACUGUAAGAAAAUGCCCGGCUAACCACGUUCCCUCAGCCGCGGUUAUACGUAGGGUGCAAGAGUUAAUCGGAAUUACUGGGCGUAAAGCGUGUGUAGGCGGUUCGGAAAGAAAGAUGUGAAAUCCCAGGGCUCAACCUUGGAACUGCAUUUUUAACUGCCGAGCUAGAGUAUGUCAGAGGGGGGUAGAAUUCCACGUGUAGCAGUGAAAUGCGUAGAUAUGUGGAGGAAUACCGAUGGCGAAGGCAGCCCCCUGGGAUAAUACUGACGCUCAGACACGAAAGCGUGGGGAGCAAACA